rnacentral:rRNA from 1 species
UACAGAGGGGGCAAGCGUUGUUCGGAAUUACUGGGCGUAAAGGGCGCGUAGGCGGCCUCUUAAGUCGGACGUGAAAUCCCCGGGCUCAACCCGGGAACUGCGUCCGAUACUGGGAGGCUUGAAUCCGGAAGAGGCGAGUGGAAUUCCUGGUGUAGCGGUGGAAUGCGCAGAUAUCAGGAGGAACACCAAUAGCGAAGGCAGCUCGCUGGGACGGUACUGACGCUAAGGCGCGAAAGCGUGGGGAGCGAACAGG